AACGAACGCUGGCGGCAUGCCUAACACAUGCAAGUCGAACGAGAUCUUCGGGUCUAGUGGCGCACGGGUGCGUAACGCGUGGGAAUCUGCCCUUUGGUUCGGAAUAACAGUUGGAAACGACUGCUAAUACCGGAUGAUGACGAAAGUCCAAAGAUUUAUCGCCAGAGGAUGAGCCCGCGUAGGAUUAGCUAGUUGGUGUGGUAAAGGCGCACCAAGGCGACGAUCCUUAGCUGGUCUGAGAGGAUGAUCAGCCACACUGGGACUGAGACACGGCCCAGACUCCUACGGGAGGCAGCAGUGGGGAAUAUUGGACAAUGGGCGAAAGCCUGAUCCAGCCAUGCCGCGUGGGUGAAGAAGGCCUUAGGGUUGUAAACCCCUUUCAGCGGGGAAGAUAAUGACGGUACCCGCAGAAGAAGCCCCGGCUAACUCCGUGCCAGCCGCCGCCGUAA
rnacentral:rRNA from 1 species